rnacentral:rRNA from 1 species
AAAGGGGCGCUAAUACGGCAUACGUCUUACGGGAGAAAGCAGGGGACCUUCGGGCCUUGCGCUAAUAGAUGAGCCUAAGUCGGAUUAGCUAGUUGGUAGGGUAAAGGCCUACCAAGGCGACGAUCUGUAGCGGGUCUGAGAGGAUGAUCCGCCACACUGGGACUGAGACACGGCCCAGACUCCUACGGGAGGCAGCAGUGGGGAAUAUUGGACAAUGGGGGGAACCCUGAUCCAGCCAUGCCGCGUGUGUGAAGAAGGCCUUUUGGUUGUAAAGCACUUUAAGCGAGGAGGAGGCUACCUAGAUUAAUACUUUAGGAUAGUGGACGUUACUCGCAGAAUAAGCACCGGCUAACUCUG